UGGGGAAUUGUUCACAAUGGGCGCAAGCCUGAUGACGCAACGCCGCGUGGGGGACGAAGGUCUUCGGAUUGUAAAGCUCUUUUGGCGGGGACGAUAAUGACGGUACCCGCAGAAUAAGCCCCGGCUAACUUCGUGCCAGCAGCCGCGGUAAUACGAAGGGGGCUAGCGUUGUUCGGAAUUACUGGGCGUAAAGCGCACGUAGGCGGACUGAUAAGUCAGGGGUGAAAUCCCGGGGCUCAACCUCGGAACUGCCUUUGAUACUGUUAGUCUCGAGUCCGGAAGAGGUGAGUGGAAUUCCUAGUGUAGAGGUGAAAUUCGUAGAUAUUAGGAAGAACACCAGUGGCGAAGGCGGCUCACUGGUCCGGUACUGACGCUGAGGUGCGAAAGCGUGGGGAGCAAACAGGAUUAGAUACCCCAGUAGUCCCUGAGCGGGCUGGCAAGGCGCAU
rnacentral:rRNA from 1 species